UACGGAGGGUGCGAGCGUUGUCCGGAAUCACUGGGCGUAAAGGGCGCGUAGGUGGCGCGGGAAGUCAACGGUGAAAGUUCAGGGCUCAACCCUGAAUCGGCCGUCGAUACUCCCGGGCUCGAGCACUGUAGAGGCAGGUAGGGGAGAUCGGAAUUCCCGGUGUAGCGGUGAAAUGCGCAGAUAUCGGGAGGAACACCGGUGGCGAAGGCGGAUCUCUGGGCCUGUCCUGACGCUCAGGCGCGAAAGCUAGGGGAGCGAACAGG
rnacentral:rRNA from 1 species